rnacentral:rRNA from 1 species
UACGUAGGGAGCAAGCGUUAUCCGGAUUUACUGGGUGUAAAGGGAGCGUAGGCGGCAUACCAAGCCUGAUGUGAAAACCCGGGGCCCAACCCCGGGAGUGCAUUGGGAACUGGCAAGCUAGAGUGUCGGAGAGGCAGGCGGAAUUCCUAGUGUAGCGGUGAAAUGCGUAGAUAUUAGGAGGAACACCAGUGGCGAAGGCGGCCUGCUGGACGAUGACUGACGCUGAGGCUCGAAAGCGUGGGGAGCAAACAGG